ACCGCGAGGGGCCCGCGCGCGCCCCCUCAGGCCGCGGCGGGUCCCGGCGGGCACCGUGUGCCACAGCGCUCCUCUGCCCCCGCACCGCCCGUCCGGCCUUAUCCCGUGUCCCCAGGCAGGGUAAGGACGAGUGCUCAGCCCCCGCGGGUUUAAUGUGUAUCUCUGUGGGACCCUCCUCCUCGUGCUGUUCCUUGAGGGUUCCAAACACCCGCCUGGAUUUUAAAACCCCUCCUCGUCCUGCUUCAGAUCGACAGGUUUACGUACAGCCUGGUGUGGCAGAGUUUUUUGGGAUGUGCACUUCCAAGCUUCCCAUCCCGUGGAGUGAAUCCAAGGCUCGGUUUGUCAGGAAGGAGAUGGUGGGUCGGCCCCCAAGUCAGAGGCUGCAUCAAAGACCUUCUCAGCCUGCAGCUUGACCAGAUAAAACAAAAACCCCAUCGUCUGGAGGAUUUGUGGGGCUGCCCCAACGUGCUCGUGGUCAAACACAAAGGGAUAAAUGUCCUAGGACGGGCCCAAACCACAGCGACUGGCUGUGUGUACACACUGGAGACAAAAGCCUGUGGAGGCGGCUCCAGCAGAUUAGGACUGGGUUUGAUCUAGUGAGGUUCCACAGCUCCAACAAACAGAAACUGUUUAUGAAAUGUCUCGGUCUGGAAAAGCAAAUCCGCCUUCUCCACCGAGCCGUCAGCAGCGUUCCUCUGCCAAGCGCUAUUUCGAGGCACAGUCCCUGUCUGCUCUGCCAGCGAUGACGGCCAACGCUUCCUUCGAGUUUAUUUGGAUGCCAAGUGCUCCAAGAUUCCCGUAAACACGCACGACUUUUCCUCAGGGUGAUUCCUGACGGGGGCCAGCGCUCCUGUAGGUACCACCAGCUACACCUGAGCAUCCGUCCCAUCACACGGUGAAUGAACCGGCGCACCGGCUGAUUUUUGGGGGGGGGGCAAAAGCCUUUGUAGCUUCUGAAGUGGGAACUGUGGAUCUGCUCCAGUUUGAAAAAUUAAUUGUUAACAAUUGUGAGUGGAAGAAACAACUUCCAGCUGGUUCCAUGCAGUGACAACAUCCAGGUGACAUUUACAGGAUGAGGCUCUCGGCUCCAGUCUCUGUUCUCCAAAAGCCCUGGGCGGUCACUCCUUUUAUUUCUCCCCACAUUCUGAAGUGUAUUUUGCCACCACAGAUAUGGAACGUGGCUGUUCGUCCUCCUCCAACAUAGUGGAACAUAAGUUCCAGUUUACCUAAAGGACAGAAAAUGUUCAUUUUGCAAGCACAGAGCAUGACAGCUCUAAAAAUACCAAUUCAGACACCUACUUGAACACAUACAUUCCUUUCCCUUUACUAAUUUAAACCUAAUAGAACACACUGAAAAAUUAUCCUUCAAUACAUCACGUAACCUGAGGGGGGAAAUCUCUUAUCAGAGCAUGGCUCACUUCCCAAGCUGGGAGAGAAGGAUCCCUGCCUCAUCUUUGUUCCUCGGCAAUUAACUCAUUUGUUGCAAACAGCUGAGUAGGAUCGAGAAAAAAACCCACCAAACCCCAAGGAUCCUUAUUGUAAGUGAUGGACUCCAGCUUUGGGAUUAAAAACAGGGAAAACGAGUCUGCUCCCUGUGCUGUCUGGACCUGGCAGAACAAUGGAGCGUUGUGGGAAAAGGAGGAGUCGUGGCGAGCUCAUACUACCAGAUGCACAAGCCUGUUUUCUGCAGGAGGACGUUGCAGGCAGCAUUUGAUGGGCAGCUGGAGCUGCAGCCCCAGUCCUGCUCCCCCGACACUGUUGAGCAGCGAAGGGAACCUCUGAGAAGCCAAGAGAAUGACAUCAAAUGGCGAUAAUUUGCCUUCAGUGCAAGUUAAAUUGUCUGAAAGGCAGCUGUGUGUUUCAAUAGCCUUGUGCUUGUCCAAGCAUGACCACGGAACCAGCACUUUGCUCAGAGGUCUCCUUUAAUAACCAUUUGUUACUGGAAGACAAUACAAACACAGACUGUCACAGAUGGAAGGUUUUUUCCAACUGUAAAUGUAAGUAAUCGAGCCUGGAGAAGUGGUUAUUCCUACUCAAACACUAGAAGCUGGAGUACUGGAAUUCUUGUGGAGUCUGCUUAUAUUAUUCCUGUGCCAGUAAGGAAUAUUCCAUUUCCCCCCCUUGCUUUCCAGAUGACUACCUUUAGUCAUUUCAUGUCCAUCGGUGCAUAAUGUCCUUAUUUCCCAAUAAUUUAUACUUUGUUGCACCAGAGGAAAAUUGCUCUGUGCUGGUGUGAACGGAGAUGUACAAAUUUCCACGCCCAGACCCACAGAUGUUUUCCAAGGAACAGCUGCAAGAGCAUUUCCAACAUAGUUGUGUCCUAAGCUACCGUAUCCAGGCACAUUUCACUAACAUCCCCUUGACACUUGCCAGAAGAGAGAAUUCAGAUACACUUUCUCAGAUGUACCCUCAGUGAACAUGAUCCUGAUCCACGUGGAAAAGUGAAAAUCACUGUUACGGGGCGGCAAAGGACCCCUGGGGAAAGGCACGGCCACAAGUGGCACAGCACCACCACACACUGGGCAAGGUUAUGAGCUCCUGCAGUGCUGAUAGCAACUCCCCAGGACAUAAACUACCCACUUAUUAACGAUGAUGUCUACAGUGGAGUACAACCACAGUCAGCUGAUUAAAAGCAACGGAGAAAAGGAAGGAAUUUUGAUGUUCUGGAAGGGAAAAAUGGAAGAAAACCUGUGUAUUAAUUGACACCCCCCGUGUCAUUCACGCUGCCAAUACUAAAAGGUAAAAUUGGGAAUGCUGUUGAGGAGGAGGCACAUUCCUAUCUGCUGUUGGUGCUCCUGCGUGCUGUGACAGCCAUUUCUGACUACUCAUCUAUUUUCUAGGAAGAACGCUGGAUUUACAGGUGUGAUCCCUAGGGAAAAGGGACACAGUCUGAAGGUAUUACUGUUACCGAGUGAAAUGAAAUAGAUUCGGGAUGGAACACGUUCCAAAUAGGAAAGCAAACCGCAGGAAAUAGCUGUUCUGGUUGAGAAAAUUACAUUAUGGGGCUGUUUAUUUAGUAAAACUAAAUCAGGUAAAAAGGUUAAUUUAGUGCCUGCAGUUCUCCUCUCUGAAUUAAUCACUGAAUGAGGUGAAAGAGGUGCUUCAUUUGCUAAAUGUGAGCACGUAUUUCACAGCUCCGGUGGAAAGCAGAACCGUGUCUCGGUGUUUCGAGAAGCUCCGUGCUGGGAACAGAUAGGAAAGGGAAUCUUGUGCAGCUCGGAUACAAGGGUUUGUUUACCUAGUAAAUAAUUUAGAUUCCUGCUGGUAGGACGAGCAGGGUGGGAACAGCUACGAAGUCCUCAGAGGCCGUGGGGAUGUUCCACUGGAGGUGACACUCCUGUAAUUCUGCUGCUGAUGGUUUCUGGGGUCAACAGCCUUUAACAGCUGCGGUGCAAAUCUACAUUUGAGCUCAGAGAAACGAAGGAGCCUGCAUCUAGUUUCCUUUUGUCCUUUGCCACAUAUUCUCCAGGAAGAGAGGAUUAUGUUUUUUUAAAAGGGCAGCUAAUUAUUGCCUGUAGGAACAAGCACGGCCGAUGUACUUAUAAGGCAGAGCAGCCCAAUAAUUCGUAUGUUCUGAUUUCCACACGAUUUACUGGGAAAAUCAGCAUUCCAUUGGUUCAUUCAUUGCACAAAAAAGGGUAAGAUUUUUCAAAACUAACUAACGAUUUUGGAUAGUUCAGUUCUCACAGAGAUCAGACAGUUCAGUGCUCAAACCCAUUUCAUUCCUCUGGGAAAGUUCCUAUGUGCCAAUGAUUUUUCUUUGACGAGCACUUCCUCCCUGGAAGCUGAGCAAAGCCUUGCCAGGUCAUUUCACCAUAAACUAUGUUUUUAGGAUUCUCCUUGUUACCUUCUGCUGCUUUUCCCAACAUUCCACACUUGCAAACUGUGCCUCUCACAAAGAAAAUGGAGUUUAACUUUCUUUGCAGCUUUUGGAAAACCAAGAAAUCCUGAGAGUCUGUUUCCAUUAUUUUUUUUAAAGAUUCUGUUCUUUAAACCAACAUCAAUAUUGCCUCCUCUGGGCUGCUCCAAGCCUGCUUGGAUCACAGGCUAGCAAUAAAUAUAGAUAAGUUAUGUAAUGACUGGAGCCAAAGCACAAACACAAGGAAAACCACAGGGAUAACUCUGUCACAGAGCGAACCUGACCAGCUAAACCCAAACAGCAGUUGUUUUUGCAAGUUUGCAUGUUUCCAGCCCCUCGGGAUAUUCAAAUUCUUGACAAACUAUUUGAAUAUAGCCUCCCAGCCUGCCCAACACGAGGGUGAAUCUAUCCUUGCUCUGCAGCUGCUGUCUGCACACAGGUUUGAACUCCUCGAGCUCUGCGAGCCUUUGCUGAACUUUGAGUGCACCCAAGUUGGGUGGGUAUGAAAAUGAGCCUUAACCUUUGCAUCCCUGCGUUUAACUGGCUGGUCAAAAGUCAGGCAGGGAGCAGCACUUGGGUCUCCACAGCACCACACAGAGCCAAACCACAAGACCAUCCAUUUUUUUCUCCGAAGGGUGUUUAAAAAUAGACAGAAAUGUCUGCUGCAAGGAUACACAGAAUCGUAGAAUGGUUUGGGUUGGAAGGGACCUUAAAGC